GAUCCUGGCUCAGGACGAACGCUAGCUACAGGCUUAACACAUGCAAGUCGAGGGGCAGCAUUUUUCUAGCAAUAGAAGAGAUGGCGACCGGCGCACGGGUGAGUAACACGUAUCCAACCUACCGAUAACUCUGGAAUAGCCUUUCGAAAGAAAGAUUAAUACCGGAUAGUAUACGAAUAUCGCAUGAUAUUUUUAUUAAAGAAUUUCGGUUAUCGAUGGGGAUGCGUUCCAUUAGUUUGUUGGCGGGGUAACGG
rnacentral:rRNA from 1 species